AUUAUUAUAUUGUGAAUAUUGGCUAGUCUAAUUUCGAUGAAAACUGUGCACUUCAAAAUCAAGUUAAUUAGUGUCGUAUUCCAUCGUAAUUAUCGAUAGAAUGGGAGUGUUUUGAUUUUUGCAUAUUUAUUUAUUUAUUUAUUUUAAAUUUUUUGAGUUGGCACUAUGAUAUUUUGUUUGAUUUGUAUGGAUUGUGAUGUAAUGAGAAGACUGGUAAGAAUUGAGCUGCAAAAAAUCGUUGUCUCAUCUGCAUGUGAUAAAAAAUUUUAAGGGGAAAUUACACUGGAUGUCAUUUUUUGGAUUUGCAUUUACAAAAAUGUCACUUUUUAAUAGUUUUGACCAAACUAUCACUUUAUGACUUUUAUGGCCCUCAAAAAAAAUUAAAAUACCUUAGAUGUCCUUAAUUAAAAUUGAUUUGACUAGAUGAAAGAAUAGUACAAAAAGUUAAUUUGUAUCACAUCAAAAGCUCCCAUUUCACUACUUACAAGAAAAGAAAAGAAAAAAAAAAACUAAAAAAUAUGAAAACUAAAAAGGUAAAAAUUUCAUUCAUAUAGCAACUAAAGUCAUAAACCUAAACGACUCUCAGUUUCCUCUCCUGCUCAAGGUCGUCUGUGAUUGCCAAAAUAUCCAUUUUUGUCCAGGUUUGUUGGUCUAAAAAGUUCAUACAGUUUACUCUGGCAGUCAUGCUGAAUCCAUAAACGUAUGUACAUUUUAUUGAAAUUAUAAGGAAUCUACUUAAACUUAGGAGAAUUGUUGAAGAUCAAUAUCUACUUUUUGGUAUGCUUCUUUAUAUUUUAUUAUUAUUAUUAUUAUUUUGACUUGAUUUGGAUAUUUUCGCGUUUCCUUAAGGAAAAAAAUGUUGUGAUUCGAAAAGAGAUUAUUUUGAUUCAUGGAAUUUUUCCUGUUGAUGGUAGGAAGAUAGAAAUGUUGGGAUUAUCUUUACUUUCUUAUAACUGAUAUCAUGAAAUCUAGCGAAGUAUCCUUAUGAACUCACAAAUUUUGGUUUGCAAUGAGAUGGCUGUAAUGUAAAUGAACUUCUUGCAAUUCUUAAUCAACAAACAAUAGUCAAACCCCUAUUAGUUAAUGGUAGAAGAUUAAGUAUGAGUAAGAAUAAAUGUCUCUUCACUAUACAUAGUAUUUUAAUAUAACUAUUAAAAAUGUGAAUAUUACAAGUUUACAAUUGGGCUUUUGUUUAUUUUCAAUUUUCCUCUUUUUUCCCUGCCCCCGAAACGAAGAAGGAAAUUAAAUAUGUCAGCUGAAAAACCAGAGAGGAAACACCAUAAUUCUUGAUAGACACUUGAUAGCAGACUUGUGGAUUUAAUGUUUCGUUCCUGACUUUUUAUCUAUUAACAAGUUCAUUUGUCGAAAAUUACUGAGGCUAACUGUCGGGAACGACAGUUCGGUCCUCAGCUCAAUGUGUUUCGCAUUAAUUUUGAUUUUACAUAAGUAAAUUCGUAAAUGGUGACUUGAAGUAAUAUGGGUGAUACUCAUUGUAUGCAUUUGGUGGAAAUCUUGAUUGGCACUUGACAUAUCUUUCGUUUCAAUGUUUAUGUUACGUGUGCCAUAACCUUGCUUUCACUUGCAAUCCACUUAUUGUGUGUGGUACUUGUUGUAUUUGGGUGGAACUCUUGAUAGACACUUCAUAGCAUACUUGUGGUUUUUGGUCUAUAUGGGGCUAGAAAUAUUAUAUUAUGGUCUGACGCAUUUAUUUCUUUUUUUGUCUUUGCGGACAUGGAUUUCGAGCAUCUUAUUCCGAAGACAGUGACGACAAGGAAGCUUGUGUUGGUUCGGGGGACAGUAAUGACGAGGAAGUUCCCUGAGCUGGUAUGGGAAACGUUGAGCAAGACUCAAUUGCUUCCGCUAACAACAUGGUGGAGGGGGACGUAAGUUUCUUGUGGGAAAAUUUUGAUCUAAUUAAUUACGAUUAGUGGUACAAAUUUCAGUUAAAUGUUUAGGGCCCUCUGCAAUAUUUUGUAAGCGGUGCGAGUGAAAUGCCAUUGGAGGCCACCACAGUCGUGCCCGGGAAUACGCCACCUAUCUCAAAGAUGAUGUGAUUUGCACGCCUACGACGUCCUGCACCAUCUACUAGGACUCCGUACAUGAGGGAGAUUGCAAAGAAAGGGAAAAAAACAAGUGAGUAGUUCUUUUUUGUUUUGGAAACUUUGGCAGUACAAUUGCAUUCGAAAACUUAAAUGCCUUGAAAUUUGGAAUCUGAUGUAUAAUUGCACUUAUUGAGCUCGUACUAGAUGCAAUAAAACUCUACUCCGAUACAGUUUAUAAUGGAAAUGGAUUGAAUCACAAACUCUACACACUUUUUUGAAAUUCUAUCAAACGUUUUGUUAUUUUGUGAGGUGAUCAAUAGAGAUAGCAUGGACCUAAACAGUAUUACAUUUAUUCACCUUGCUUUCUACGUGCUUUGUCUCAGAAUACUCAUUUUAUUGAUGCAUCACGGCCUAUGUACAGAGUCGUACUCAUGACCUGAAAAAGCAUCAAAGUAUUGGUCGACAUGUUCUUGUUGUAAUGGGAGGUGGAACCAAUCGAUGUCCAUGUCAAAGAAAGAGUGACGCUGACAAUGUUUUACUUUGGGCGACUACGGAGAAUGCACAGAGGAACAUUUUGUUUUACAUUAUUGUAUGUUUAUUUUUUGGGAAAUGUUGGUUAUAUUCAAGUGGUAUUCACUGUCAAAGAAACUGUGUGAAUUUAGUAUGAAAAAUGUUGGUACGG
rnacentral:lncRNA from 1 species